rnacentral:rRNA from 1 species
UACGUAGGGUGCAAGCGUUGUCCGGAAUUAUUGGGCGUAAAGAGCUCGUAGGCGGUCUGUCGCGUCGGCUGUGAAAUCCCGAGGCUCAACCUCGGGUCUGCAGUCGAUACGGGCAAACUAGAGUAUUGCAGGGGAGACUGGAAUUCCUGGUGUAGCGGUGAAAUGCGCAGAUAUCAGGAGGAACACCGGUGGCGAAGGCGGGUCUCUGGGAAGUAACUGACGCUGAGAAGCGAAAGCAUGGGUAGCAAACAGG